GAUUAGUCCAUAUUUUUGCAUAUUUAAAUGCCUAUUUUUUGUUUAUUUUCGUAGUAUUAAUCGCUUAUUUAUUUUAUUUCAGGAAAAUGUAGAUAAAUAAAGAAAGAAGAGAAAAUGCAAGAAAAAGGGAGAAAAAGAAAAGAAAAGAAGAAAAUCAAAGAGAGUUGGCAAGCAAGGGGGCACAUGGAUGGCUAUGAUUUACCCAACACACAUCACACAUGGAUGGAUUAGAUUUAGCCACCCUACCCCUAAACCCUACAUUUCUAGCUAUAAAUACCCCCACC
rnacentral:lncRNA from 1 species